GACGGGGGGGGCAAGUGUUCUUCGGAAUGACUGGGCGUAAAGGGCACGUAGGCGGUGAAUCGGGUUGAAAGUGAAAGUCGCCAAAAAGUGGCGGAAUGCUCUCGAAACCAAUUCACUUGAGUGAGACAGAGGAGAGUGGAAUUUCGUGUGUAGGGGUGAAAUCCGUAAAUAUACGAAGGAACGCCAAAAGCGAAGGCAGCUCUCUGGGGUCCCUACCCGAGGCUGGGGUGCGAAAGCAUGGG
rnacentral:rRNA from 1 species